CUUCGUACUGUGCAAUGCAUGCACCGUAGCUACUCCACUGCUUCAUGCAACAUCAGUAACAAAUGACCUGCACCGUAGCUGCUGCUGUUUGCACAGAUCUUUGUUCCAGGCUCAUCAGAUGAAACACAGAUAACCACAUGCUAUUCAGCAUCAAUGGAACAGGCAGCAGCUGCCUUUGCAUCGCAGGACAUGGUAUGAUGGACAGGUAUUAAGAGGGA
rnacentral:lncRNA from 1 species